ACGAAAAUCCCAUGGUCAAUGCGGGUCAAGUGUUUAAUGAACUUUUAGCAACCUUUAUGGGCUCCAAACGCUGCGAAAUAAUGGAAAAGAAAUAAAAAAUGUAAUCGCAACGCGCGUGGUGAGUGAAUGAUGUAAAUAUGGGCGCGUUGAAACUUACCUUUUCAUCACAAUGUUUCUCGCAUUCUCCGCUCGCCCAUUUCAUACUCCCUCAAACCCUAGCAUACACCCUUUCUCUCUCUCUCUCUCUCUCUCUCUCUCUCUCUCCCCCUCUCUCUCUCUCUCUCUCUCUCUCUCUCUCUCUCUCUCUCUCCCUCCCUCCCUCCCUCUCUCUUUCUCUUCUUCAGAUCAAACAUCGUUUAGGUUGGAAUUCCGCCGUUUUCAUCGAUGGUCAAAGGAAUGUCGCGUUAUCAUCAGAUAUUAAGCUAAUUUUGGUACCGAUUUAUGCUCUCACCAAGAAUUCCAGAAAUUAGGUCACAGUUUGGUGUUUUUCCACCAGAUUUUGGAGCUAUUUAAGCAUUUUAUGACCUGGUAUUUAUGGAGGAAGCUUCAAAUUAAUUUGUUAUUUUUCUUUGGUUUUGGAGAAGCGAAGCCAUGGGAGAAGACAACCAUAGUAGGAGAAGCGAAGCUACACGAAUUGAACCAUGAUUCUUCCAGUUUGUUGCUUCGCCAACGGCAAGAUAAUAAUUGGAAACUAGCGGGACACUAAAGGGUACUACUUAUUCUUUACUUAUUUCUAUUUCCAUUUUGGUUCUUUGUACUUUGUUACUUAACAAUUAGUAUUUGUGUUUAAUUUUGAGAUUCUUUCAUGAAAUUGUUUCAAUGGAUUAUUCUGUUUAUGGUUGUGAAUUUAAGCCAUUUUCAUUUCGCAAUCGUCGAGUGUAGCUGGGGUUACUUGUUUUGCUGAUUAAGUUAUGUGGUUUUGUAUUGUUGGAAAGAACACUACUUCUUGCUUUGUUGUUAUCGAGAAAGUUUUUGUACUUAUUA